CCCGUCACUUGGGUGACCAAGUGCUCCAGUGUGCCCAGGAGUGAAGCUUCCUGGUGUAGGGCACUUCGAUGACUGCACAAGAAAGGACUGCCACCGACCAGCUUAGAACAAUGCCCGUAUGAACUUACACCCAAAUGGCUGGGUAGCUCCAAGUCUCCAAGGCUGAAAAUCAAGUGUUGACCAGGCCGAGUCAUCCGCUGGAGAUUCUGGGACCCCAGAGUGGAGGCAGAGCCGUGGUGAGCCCAGGAACCGGCAUCUUCUGCAGACGCCACAGCCCAGGAGCAGGUCAUAAUACCAAAUAAAUGCCUUUGGGCAAGAAUGUUAGUUAGAUCGCAACAUCUGGAAGAGACUGAAAGAACCAGCUGACAUCGGGAAAUCAUUGUCCUAUUUUUGCCUCUGGCACCAACAAGCUCUGUGACCUUAAGUAAGUCAGUUCCCCAUCUGGACCCUUGUCUAUGUGU
rnacentral:lncRNA from 1 species